GCUCAUCAUCUUGGUCACUUUAACCCUCCAACUUACUCUGUGACUGCCUUAUGGACAAAACAGCAAGACCUGUGCAAAUCCUCUGGAGAAUGGAGAUCUGAGGUGAAGCAAGAGAAAGAUGCAGCACUAUUGGUCAGUGGAGUCCCAUCCUCCUCAGUGCUGACCUCCUUCAUCCAGGCUUCCCAUGGUGCCUUCCACCUCCUGAUCCAAGAAUUCUGCAUCAUUUUUUUUUCCAUCUCAUAAAGGCAUUUAUAACUGAUAUUUGACCUUACAUUAACAUUGUUCUGCUCCAAUGUGGGAAGGUAAGUAGGCAUUGCCAGGCCAGAUGCUGAGUAUUGCCUCUAUAAGAAC